rnacentral:rRNA from 1 species
AGGGUUCGAUCCUGGCUCAGGAUGAACGCUGGCGGCGUGCUUAACACAUGCAAGUCGAACGGGAAACUUUUUAUUGAAGCUUCGGCAGAUUUAAUUUGUUUCUAGUGGCGGACGGGUGAGUAACGCGUGGGUAACCUGCCCUGUACUGGGGGACAACAGUUGGAAACGACUGCUAAUACCGCAUAAGCGCACAGCAUCGCAUGAUGCAGUGUGAAAAACUCCGGUGGUACAGGAUGGACCCGCGUCUGAUUAGCUAGUUGGUGAGGUAACGGCUUACCAAGGCAACGAUCAGUAGCCGACUUGAGAGAGUGAUCGGCCACAUUGGGACUGAGACACGGCCCAA